GGAAGAGUGGCAGAGCGGCCGAUUGCACCUGUCUUGAAAACAGGAGACCUUCACGGGUCCGUGGGUUCGAAUCCUACCUCUUCCG
rnacentral:tRNA from 1 species